CUGACGGAGCAACGCCGCGUGAGCGAUGAAGGUCUUCGGAUCGUAAAGCUCUGUUGUUAGGGAAGAACAAGUACCGUUCGAAUAGGUCGGUACCUUGACGGUACCUAACCAGAAAGCCACGGCUAACUACGUGCCAGCAGCCGCGGUAAUACGUAGGUGGCAAGCGUUGUCCGGAAUUAUUGGGCGUAAAGCGCGCGCAGGCGGUUCCUUAAGUCUGAUGUGAAAGCCCACGGCUCAACCGUGGAGGGUCAUUGGAAACUGGGGAACUUGAGUGCAGGAGAGGAGAGCGGAAUUCCACGUGUAGCGGUGAAAUGCGUAGAGAUGUGGAGGAACACCAGUGGCGAAGGCGGCUCUCUGGCCUGUAACUGACGCUGAGGCGCGAAAGCGUGGGGAGCGAACAGGAUUAGAUACCCUGGUAGUCCACGCCGUAAACGAUGAGUGCUAAGUGUUAGAGGGUUUCCGCCCUUUAGUGCUGCAGCUAACGCAUUAA
rnacentral:rRNA from 1 species